GCCCAGACUCCGUUCGGUGGUUAUAAGAUGUAGGGGAAUGGACGAGAGCUGGGCGAGUACGCGCUGGCGGAAUACUGUGAGGUCAAAGCCGUCACCAUCAAGCUUAACGAGCAGGGCCAAAAGUAUUGGGACGCCUGAUCAUGAGCUCGUCUGAGAGCCGGAGCGGCUUCGAGGCGAAUCUCCGAAUGUACUAAAGCGACUCGACCAAAACCCACAACAUAUAUAGAGAGACCAGAAGCAGUUCACAGACGCCCGUCAUCCAAUCGGACGGAUUUUGAGAGGAUCUGGCUUGACGAACGGGGUAAACAGCCUAAAUCCAGAUGUGUGAAGCUUGUAGAGACGCAUCCAAGUGACCUGCAGCUGUAAUCGCUGUCAAA